rnacentral:lncRNA from 1 species
GAGAUUGUUACAAUGACCACACCUUGAAUGAAGACAAGAAGACAUGUUCAGCCAUUGAAGAAGCAUGAAGACUCAUCUCCACAGAAGAUGCUUGUGCGUGUGAAGCCACACUGGCAUUCCAGGAUAAGGUCAGCUCGUAUCUGCAGAGGCUGAACACCAAACUCAAUGACAUUUUGGAGAAGUUGCAAGCAAAUGAAUAUGGACAAAUACAUCGUAAAAUAGCUCAAUUUUUUCACCUGGAAACAUGGAGCGCUUGGUGUAUUUAAUAAUUCGGCACACUUCAAUGUUCCUGCUAAUAAUUUGCCAUUACAAAUGCUUGAAUGUUACUGGAUAAGUAGUGUGAGGACCUUCUGGAAAAUCAGUUUCAUUUUUCUAAGGAAAUAAAUGUCCAUAUCCUUAUUAAGA